UACGUAGGCAGCAAGCGUUGUUCGGAGUUACUGGGCGUAAAGGGUGUGUAGGCGGUUUUCUAAGUCUGGUGUGAAAUCUCCCGGCUCAACUGGGAGGGUGCGCCGAAAACUGGAAGGCUAGAGUGCGGGAUGGGAGAGUGGAAUUCCUGGUGUAGCGGUGAAAUGCGUAGAUAUCAGGAGGAACACCAAUAGCGAAGGCAGCUCGCUGGGACGGUACUGACGCUAAGGCG
rnacentral:rRNA from 1 species